AUGGACCGCUCGCCUGUGUAUCGGUUGGGGACAUCUCUACACUGCUUGGGAUGGUUUCCUGUGGACGGGACUCUCGCUGCUGUCUUGGAUCCGCUGUCUUGGAUCCGCUUUGAACUGAACUCUCGCGGCUGUGUUGGAGCCACUAUGGAUUGAACUUUCACAGUAUCAUGUUAGACCCGCUCGACAUCCAUUGCUUUCGGUCCCCUAGAAGGGCGGGGUUGCCCACAUUUGAGGUCCUCUCCAAGGUUUUGUCAUAGUCAUCAUUGUCACUGGCGUCCCACUGGGUGUGAAUUCUCCCUGCCCACUGGGUGUGAGUUUUCCUUGCCCUUAUGUGGGUUUUUCCGAGGAUGUCGUAGUCGUAAUGGUUUGUGCAGUCCUUUGAGACAUUUGUGAUUUAGGGCUAUAUAAAUAAACAUUGACUGAUUGAAUACGUAUUUAAAUCAUCAUCUGCACAGUUCCCCAACCAUUUUUCUUCUGAGCGCUACUUUUACAACAUUGGUGAAUUGACAAAAACUAAGCUCAUUGCAGGCGUUAUAUUGGUACAAUAAUAAUAGUUCAGGUAUGUUAGAAGUACAUUCUUUGAAUACCAGAGUAGGUCUUUUUUUUAAUCGUUUCACAAACAUGUUUUGCAAAUCCCAAACUUGUGUUUUUAUGAAUCUUCUCUCUCUUUUGGAUAACAUAGUCCAGAUUUGAGAACUUUGAGGAGCUGCUUUGCGUGAAAUAAAAUGCACAAUUAAUCCGUCUCAAUACGUGAAUAAUGUAACCAUCUGUUGUGAUUAAUGGCAUGUGUUCAUGCCUCAAAUUUGGCACAUGUGUUAGCGUGUGGAUUGUUGUUGGCAAGUCUAGUCCAAAACGUCCACCUUUGCUCUCCAUGAACCAGAAAGUCCGGGCCGUCAUCUUUCUAAUUGGUUGGUGGAAGGUGACGUCGAGAAGACAGAACCAGUUUGGUUUGUGGUUAAAACCGGAAAAGGGCAUCGCUGUGAAGAAAUCAUAUUCUUAGUCCAAAAAGAAUUGAAGACUUCACAGGACUGCUACCAUCCCAGAGAGGUCACAUCUGCCUCCAUGAAGAAGUACCUCUUGCUCUGCAUCCUCAGCAUUCUAGUGCUGGUUCCUCUUUACGUCUGGCUAAAUGGAUCCUUGUCCCGAAGAUGGUGUCCAGAAGUUUCCUUGUCCGACAACUCAGAGCCACGCAACGUGACCAUCUUGCUGUGGCACUGGACCGCUGAACGUGCUCGGGCUAUCAGCCAGAACAUGUGCUGGGAACGUUUCAACAUCCCACACUGUAAAGUUAUGAUGCAGGAUGCCAUGUACAUGAAGGCAGACGUGGUGGUGUUCCAUAACCUUGAGCUGUCAACAGGACGGAUGAAACUGCCCCUGGAUCUCCCCAGGCCGCCGGGCCAGAGGUGGGCUUGGAUGUCCAUACAGUCCCCUGAUAACAACGGGAGACUGCUGAGAGAAUAUGGAGGCGUGUUCAACCUCACCGUGAGCUACAGGAGGGACGCAGAUGUUAGCAUACCAUACGGUGGGUUUGUACCACGAGAGUUUGGAGAUCCAGUGGACGACAUCCCAAUGAAGAAAACUGAUCUGGUCUGCUGGGUGGUCAGCCACUACAAGGAAUCCUUCAGAAGAAGCCAAGUGUACAAAGAACUCAGCGCGGUCAUUCCUGUAAAGGUCUAUGGACGCUGGUUCAAUAAAACUCUUGCGCCUAAUGACCUUCUUCCUAUGAUAUCUCAUUGCUACUUCUAUUUGGCCUUCGAGAACAGCAUCGGCAAAGAUUAUAUCACAGAAAAACUGUGGAUCAAUUCCUACCAAGGUGGGGCGGUGCCGGUCGUCCUGGGACCACCGGUGGAGGAAUACGAGGCCGUGGCGCCGCCUCACUCUUUCAUCCACGUCGACGAGUUUGCUUCGGUGAAAGAACUUGGCGAGUAUCUGCAGGAGCUGGCGGGCGACGCCAAGCGUUAUGGCGAGUAUAUGCAAUGGAAGAGAGACUGGAAGGUGCAACCGACCAUUAACAAGGAAUGGAGAUUGUGUCAGAUCUGCCUGCGGUACCCCAGCUUUCCUCCGCACAAAGUAUACACUGACCUGGCAGCCUGGGAUAAAGCUACUUAAAAACCUCUGAAGUCCGACAUCAUCCAGCCAGGAAACAUUUGUCCUUCAUGACAAAAAUGAAAGAAUCAGCCGGAUGGCUUCCCGGCCUGCACCUGGCGGUGGAGGUAUGUGGAGGGGGGAGUGGCCUGCAGCGGAACGCGGUGUGCCAGGACCGGCCUCGAAGACAGAGACAGGUGCGUAGAUGGCCCAGGUGGGCCCUGUUAUCUAAUCACCUGUCGCCUUUAUUAGCAGCAGACGGAAUGAGACACGUGGUUGGAGUUGAAGUGGGAGCCAGAGAGAGAAAGACGUUUUGCUGGAAAGCAGAAGCUAUUGAUAUUUAUGAAAAUAAAACAGUGUUAUACCCUGAAA